rnacentral:rRNA from 1 species
CGGAGGGUGCAAGCGUUAUCCGGAUUCACUGGGUUUAAAGGGUGCGUAGGUGGGCAAGUAAGUCAGUGGUGAAAUCUCCGGGCUUAACCCGGAAACUGCCAUUGAUACUAUUUGUCUUGAAUACUGUGGAGGUCAGCGGAAUAUGUCAUGUAGCGGUGAAAUGCUUAGAUAUGACAUAGAACACCAAUUGCGAAGGCAGCUGGCUACACAAAUAUUGACACUGAGGCACGAAAGCGUGGGAAUCAAACAGGAUUAGAUACCCUGGUAGUCCACGCCCUAAACUAUGGAUACUCGACAUUUGCGAUAAACUGCAAGUGUCUGAGCGAAAGCAUUAAGUAUCCCACCUGGGAAGUACGAUCGCAAGAUUG